UUUCUUGCUGUUUUUUUUGUCAAUAGACCAGAACAAGUUGGAUGAACCUGAAGAGUGAGAUGGAUGGACAGUCUCCAGAUCUGGACCCCAGGACCUCCACCCACAGCUUACCCACCGAUAUGUCUCAACCCAACUUCCCAUAUAAUAAGUCUGCUUCGCUGCCAGGAUAUGGGCGGAACGGAAUAUACAAGGCGGCUGAUCUUGGCGAGGAUGAUGGCGAUCAUGACUCAUCCUGGAGUGGAAUGAGAGGU
rnacentral:lncRNA from 1 species